rnacentral:misc_RNA from 1 species
GAUGAAGAACGCAGUGAAAUGCGAUACGUAAUGUGAAUUGCAGAAUUCAGUGAAUCAUCGAAUCUUUGAACGCAUAUUGCGCUCUCUGGUAUUCCGGAGAGCAUGCUUGUUUGAGUAUCAGUAAACACCUCAACUUCCAUAUCUUUUUUGAAAUGGGAGUUGGACUUGAGUGAUCCCAACGCUUUUCCUCACCGAAAAGUGGCGGGUUACUUGAAAUGCAGGUGCAGCUGGACUUUUCUCUGAGCUUAUAAGCAUAUCUAUUUAGUCUGCCUAAAAAACAGAUUAUUACCUUUGCUGCAGCUAACAUAAAGGAGAUUAGUUCUUGUGCUGACUGAUGCAGGAUUCACAAAGACAGGCUUCGGCCGACUUUGUAAACUCGAUCUCAAAUCAAGUAAGACUACCCGCUGAACUUAAGCAUAUCAAUAAGCGGAGGA